rnacentral:rRNA from 1 species
AUUGAACGCUGGCGGCAGGCCUAACACAUGCAAGUCGAGCGAGCGGCGGACGGGUGAGUAAAGUCUGGGAAAAUGCCUGAUGGAGGGGGAUAACUACUGGAAACGGUAGCUAAUACCGCAUAACAUCAGAUGUGCCCAGAUGGGAUUAGCUAGUAGGUGGGGUAAUGGCUCACCUAGGCGACGAUGCCUAGCUGGUCUGAGAGGAUGACCAGCCACACUGGAACUGAGACACGGGCCAGACUCCUACGGGAGGCAGCAGUGGGGAAUAUUGCACAAUGGGCGCAAGCCUGAUGCAGCCAUGCGGCGUGUGUGAAGAAGGCCUUCGGGUUGUAAAGCACUGUCAGCGGGGAGGCGUUACCCGCAGAAGAAGCACCGGCUAACUCCGUGCCAGCAGCCGCGGUAAUUC